GACGAACGCUGGCGGCGUGCCUAAUACAUGCAAGUCGAGCGCUGAAGGUUGGUACUUGUACCAAAUGGAUGAGCAUCGCACGGGUGAGUAACGCGUGGGGAAUCUGCUUUUUAGCGGGGGACAACAUUUGGAAACGAAUGCUAAUACCGCAUAAAAACUUUAAACACAAGUUUUAAGUUUGAAAGAUGCAAUUUCAUCACUCAAAGAUGAUCCCGCGUUGUAUUAGCUAGUUGGUGAGGUAAAGGCUCACCAAGGCGAUGAUACAUAGCCGACCUGAGAGGGGGAGAGGACACGUUAGGACUGGGAGACGGCCCAAACUCCUACGGGAGGGAGCAGGAGGGAAUCUUCAGGAAUGGAAGAAAGGCGGAACGAGCAACGACGCGGGAGUGAAGAAGGUUGUCGGAUCGUAAAACUCUGUUGGUAGAGAAGAACGUUAGUGAGAGUGGAAAGCUCAGAAAGUGACGGUAACGAACCAGAAAGGGACGGCUAACUACGUG
rnacentral:rRNA from 1 species